rnacentral:rRNA from 1 species
GUGAAAACUCACAGCUUAACUGUGGGCGUGCGGGCGAUCCGGGCAGACUAGAGUACUGCAGGGGAGACUGGAAUUCCUAGUGUAGCGGUGGAAUGCGCAGAUAUCAGGAGGAACACCGGUGGCGAAGGCGGGUCUCUGGGCAGUAACUGACGCUGAGGAGCGAAAGCGUGGGGAGCGAACAGGAUUAGAUACCCUGGUAGUCCACGCCGUAAACGGUGGGUACUAGGUGUGGGUUCCUUCCUUGGGAUCCGUGCCGUAGCUAACGCAUUAAGUACCCCGCCUGGGGAGUACGGCCGCAAGGCUAAAACUCAAAGGAAUUGACGGGGGCCCGCACAAGCGGCGGAGCAUGUGGAUUAAUUCGAUGCAACGCGAAGAACCUUACCUGGGUUUGACAUGCACAGGACGCCGGCAGAGAUGUCGGUUCCCUUGUGGCCUGUGUGCAGGUGGUGCAUGGCUGCCGUCAGCUCGCGUCGUGAGAUGUUGGGUUAAGUCUCGCAACGAGCGCAACCCUUGUCCUAUGUUGCCAGCGGGUUAUGCCGGGGACUCGUAGGAGACUGCCGGGGUCAACUCGGAGGAAAGUGGGGAUGACGUCAAGUCAUCAUGCCCCUUAUGUCCAGGGCUUCACACAUGCUACAAUGGCCGGUACAAAGGGCUGCGACGCCGUGAGGUGGAGCGAAUCCUUUCAAAGCCGGUCUCAGUUCGGAUCGGGGUCUGCAACUCG